UUAAAGAUAAUUUUUUUAAUGAAAUAACAAUUUUUUUAUUGUUUAUAAACCCCUCAAGCAUAUUUAUAGGAUUAGGUAUACCAGGUAGGUUACUGUAUAUGAAAUUUUACUUUUUAAAAAAGGCACGCAAUGUGACUUUAUUUUUAUAUAGCUUUUUUUAAAAGUUAUUUCCAUAGCUUUUCAAUUUAAGCAAUGUUUUUGUUGUUUUUAUGUUUUAAAUUAUGCUUAAAUAAUAAAAUUAAAUUUAUAUUUAUUCAAUGUAGAUGCACUUAGUAUCUGAAGUUAUUUGUCAAUAACUGGUGAUCAGACUAUUAAACGAACACGUUUUUAAGGGCUGAGAAGGUGAAAGUUAGAAGUCUGCAGACUGCAACGUAAAUCAAUUUUCAACACAUGGUUUCCUGAAUAUAUUUAGUUUUUGAUUGAAAUGAGAAUAAACUGAACUUAUAGAUAUGUU